AUUGAACGCUGGCGGCAGGCCUAACACAUGCAAGUCGAACGGUAACAGGAAGAAGCUUGCUUCUUUGCUGACGAGUGGCGGACGGGUGAGUAAUGUCUGGGAAACUGCCUGAUGGAGGGGGAUAACUACUGGAAACGGUAGCUAAUACCGCAUAACGUCGCAAGACCAAAGAGGGGGACCUUCGGGCCUCUUGCCAUCGGAUGUGCCCAGAUGGGAUUAGCUAGUAGGUGGGGUAACGGCUCACCUAGGCGACGAUCCCUAGCUGGUCUGAGAGGAUGACCAGCCACACUGGAACUGAGACACGGUCCAGACUCCUACGGGAGGCAGCAGUGGGGAAUAUUGCACAAUGGGCGCAAGCCUGAUGCAGCCAUGCCGCGUGUAUGAAGAAGGCCUUCGGGUUGUAAAGUACUUUCAGCGGGGAGGAAGGGAAUAAAGUUAAUACCUUGGCUCAUUGACGUUACCCGCAGAAGAAGCACCGGCUAACUUCGUG
rnacentral:rRNA from 1 species